ensembl:lncRNA
GCCAAGUUUCGAGGAUGUAGAAAAGAACACAGAUAGGAGGGCUAGAGAUGAUACGUCAGUGUGAUAACAAGGUCAUAAAGGCAUUUAUCUGAGAGGGAAGAGAAGAAAAUCAUCAGUACCCGCAUUCGGUGAGAAACUCAGCUUCCCUCUGGGCGUUUUCUCAAGUUCGUGGAGGAAAUUGUUUUAUUCGAGAAAUCCAAUCGUCUGUGGAGCUGCUUUAUCUCAGUAAACCCAUAACCCUGACAAGAUGCAAACAAAGCUUUUAAUAACCAUUCUUUGCCUUCUUGGUGCAGUAAGCCUCUGCAAAGGGCAGACAUCUCCCUCUCCCGCCCCAUCAGUUUCACCCUCAAUCAACCCUUCAGAGUCCAGUAGCACAGAGGGGCCGGGUGGGUCCACAGUUUCAGCCGCCACAAGUGGGUCCACUGUGGUUCCCACCACUGGCGCAGUGGCAGAUGAAGGACUGUCAGAUGGAGCCAUAGCGGGAAUUGUCAUCGGCUCCCUCGCAGGCGUGGCUGGUAUUGGCGGUGGAGUCUAUGGACUGCUGAAGUACACAGGAAGGAUCUGAGCACGGCUCGGGCGGCGGCAACUUCAAAGAAUCCCAGUAAAACAUCACAAAUAACCCAUUAACCCAGAGGACAACGAUACAAUGAAAUGCACAAUAAUAUUUUUUGUAGCAUACCCACACAAUGAUCAAAGAGUUUUAAAAUAGAAUAUGAAAUGUUUUAUUUGUUAAUAUCACAAAUCUUUGGAAGGUUUUUAAACAUGGAUACAACAGCAGGGCGUGCCAUACAGGGCCGCGAUCAACACCCAAUGCCUCUAAUCACAGUCGUGUAUUGAGCACCCCUGUUCUAAAUUACAAAGACAAUUCAAAAUGUAAAGGCCGACUUUUAGUUACAGGGAACAGCACAUCAGCUGUCAUAUUUAGCCAGCAAGGGUAUAUUUCUGUCUUUCUUUAAUCUCCUAGUGAAGAAAAAUGCUCAGCUUUGAGGGCAUCAGUUAUUUUAUCAUUUCACACACAAAGCACCUAUUCAGCAAUUGCAACAAAAUCCCUUUUUGUGCUGUGUUGCAUGUUAUCUUCAAUAUUCAGUGUAAAAAAACACAUUAUGACCACACCUUAGAUAAAACAUUGCUAUAACAGUGUCCUUCACAAUCAUUACAAAGCUAAAAAACAGUAAAUAAUUUUUAAUGCAGUGGAGUUUUGCACAUUUUAUACCACUUUGUUUCAAAUGAGAGUCAUGAUUAACGUGCAUUCUUUUUGGUUUUCCUUUCAAACAGUUUUGAUUAAAGCAAUGAUGUUGGUAGUACUACGGCAACGUAUAACUGAUGAUAGCACUUUACUGUGUAUAUCUGUACCCCUGUCUCGUGGGAGUAUGUACUGUACUGUAAAUUCUAAAUGCACAUGAAAAUAUUGGAUCAUGGCUUGAUGUUUAAAGUGGUUUUAAUUAAAAUAUAUUUUAGUUAAAUUACAAGUCUACAUAGUUGUCAUUGUGUCCUAUGCAACAUUACGUGUGAAUAUUUGUGAUACAAAAACCACACAUUUAUACUCCAGCACUGCAGGGUGAGUUGAUAUCCAUCAUGGAAAGUCUUACGUAAGCAGCUGGUUAAUUAUUGUUUGCAAUAAGUAAUUCCAGGAAACACAACGAUGACGGUAAAUAAAUCAAUUUGGAUUCAGCUCA